rnacentral:rRNA from 1 species
CAAUACCCGUUGAUCCUGCGGGAGAUUGCUGCUUUCGGGAUACGAUUAAGCCAUGCAAGUCAAGGGGGCUUCGGCCACCGGCAGAAUGCUCAGUAACACGUCGAUAACUUUCCUUUUGGUUCGGAAUAGCUUUGGGAAACUGAGGGUAAAUCCGAAUAUGAGAUUUUUUCUGGAAUGAUAUUUCUCUGAAACGUAAGGCCAAAAGAUAGGUCGGCGCCCGAUUAGGUCGUUGGUGGGGUAAUGGCCCACCAAGCCAUCGAUCGGUAGGGGCCUUGAGAGAGGAAGCCUCGAGAAGGGCACUGAGAUACUUGCCCUAGCCCUACGGGGUGCAGCAGGCGCGAAACCUUUACAAUGCACGAAAGUGCGAUAAGGGGAUCCCGAGUGCUUAUACAUUGUAUAGGCUUUUGCCAAGUGUAAAUAACUUGGCGAAUAAGUGGUGGGAAAGACUGGUGCCAGCCGCCGCGGUAACACCAGCGCCACAAGUAGGAAUCACAUUUAUUGGGCCUAAAGCGUCCGUAGUCGGUUUGAAAAAUCUCUUGUGAAAUCGUUGUGCUUAACGCAACGGCGUGCGAGAGACACUUUCAGACUUGAGACCGGGAGGGGUUAGAGGUAUUCUUGGGGGAGCGGUAAAAUGUUAUAAUCCCAAGAGGACCGCCUGUGGCGAAGGCGUCUAACCAGAACGGAUCUGACGAUCAGGGACGAAAGCCAGGGGAGCAAUCCGGAUUAGAUACCCGAGUAGUCCUGGCUGUAAACUCUGCGAGCAAGGUGUUGCACAUUCUCCGUGAAUGUGCAGUGUCGAAGCGAAGGCGUUAAGCUCGCCGCCUGGGAAGUACGGUCGCAAGACUGAAACUUAAAGGAAUUGGCGGGGGAGCACAACAAGGGGUGCGGCGUGCGGUUUAAUCCAAAUCAACACGGAGAAUCUCACCAGAGGCGACGGCAGGAUGAAAGUCAGAUUGAAGGUCUUACUAGACAAGCCGAGAGGUGGUGCAUGGCCGCCGUCAGCUCGUGCUGUGAAGUGUCCUGUUAAGUCAGGCAACGAGCGAGACCUGUGCCUACAAUUGCCAGCAACAUCUUUAGAUGGAUUGGGCACAUUGUAGGGACUGCCUUGGAAACAAGGAGGAAGGUGCAGGCAACGGUAGGUCUGUAUGCCCCGAAUCCUCUGGGCUACACGCGCGCAACAAUGGCAUGGACAAUGGGAUGCAACUCCGAAAGGAGAAGCUAAACCUCUAAACCAUGUCUCAGUCCAGAUUGUGGCUUGUAACUCAGCCACAUGACGUUGGAAUCCCUAGUAACCAGACGUUAGCAUCGUCCGGUGAAUAUGUCCCUGCUCCUUGUACACACCGCCCGUCAAAUCACCUGAGUUGGGUUUGAAUGAGGUCCUAUCUUUUGGUAGGCUCGAAUUCGAGUUCAGCAAGGGGGGUUAAGUCGUAACAAGGUACCCGUAGGGGAACCUGCGGCUGGAUCACCUCCUU